rnacentral:lncRNA from 1 species
AAGUAAAGAUCCACCCACCUAGAAGUAAUGAUCAAGUUUGCAGAAGCUUGGAUCUUUUAAAAUGAAUCCUAGAUGCCAUCAAGCAAGAUCGACACUAUAGGCCUCAAACCCGACGAGUCCAAGAAGUUGAAGGAGGAGAUGAAGUGUGGGCCUUUAGGGCAAUCUUGAAAUUCGAGGAGGAAGGCCCAAGUCCAUGGCUAUUCAGACAUCAUGACCCUUGAACCAAAAGUGGCGUGCAGGCCGACAACCCUGCGCG